GAUGAACGCUGGCGGCGUGCCUAAUACAUGCAAGUCGAGCGAACGGACGAGAAGCUUUCUUCUCUGAUGUUAGCGGCGGACGGGUGAGUAACACGUGGAUAACCUACCUAUAAGACUGGGAUAACUUCGGGAAACCGGAGCUAAUACCGGAUAAUAUUUUGAACCUCAUGGUUCAAAAGUGAAAGACGGUCUUGCUGUCACUUAUAGAUGGAUCCGCGCUGCAUUAGCUAGUUGGUAAGGUAACGGCUUACCAAGGCAACGAUGCAUAGCCGACCUGAGAGGGUGAUCGGCCACACUGGAACUGAGACACGGUCCAGACUCCUACGGGAGGCAGCAGUAGGGAAUCUUCCGCAAUGGGCGAAAGCCUGACGGAGCAACGCCGCGUGAGUGAUGAAGGUCUUCGGAUCGUAAAACUCUGUUAUUAGGGAAGAACAUAUGUGUAAGUAACUGUGCACAUCUUGACGGUACCUAAUCAGAAAGCCACGGCUAACUACGUG
rnacentral:rRNA from 1 species